rnacentral:rRNA from 1 species
AACGUAGGUGGCAAGCGUUAUCCGGAUUUACUGGGCGUAAAGCGUGCGCAGGCGGUUAUGUAAGACAGAUGUGAAAUCCCCGGGCUCAACCUGGGAACUGCAUUUGUGACUGCAUAGCUAGAGUACGGUAGAGGGGGAUGGAAUUCCGCGUGUAGCAGUGAAAUGCGUAGAUAUGCGGAGGAACACCGAUGGCGAAGGCAAUCCCCUGGACCUGUACUGACGCUCAUGCACGAAAGCGUGGGGAGCAAACAGG